ensembl:lncRNA LINC01445 long intergenic non-protein coding RNA 1445
AACUCUAUCUCAGGAUAAAGACCUGAGGGUCACAAGAUGUACAUUGCUGGCCUCAGCUGGAUUUUCCCAGGGUCAGGUGCCCAUUCCUACCUAAUCAAAGGACACUUCUGCUGACCUGCACCUAGAAUACCCUGUUCUGUGCUGAUGACUCAGAUGUAAGAAUGAUGAAGUGCAUCGGCUGGCAUGCAGAGAACAAUAAGAAAAAGAACUGAGUUGUGGGAAGACAUGAGGAAAGGACAUGAGGCUCUUAAUAACAGCUGCCAAGUACUGCAGUCGGGAAUCUGGAGCAAAGUGAUUCAAUUCUGACCACUGCCUCGCUGCUGGGUUAGGGUCUCCCCAGUUGAGCUGGUCUCGGCAAGUGGCGUCCAUUUCAUUCGUGGGGGCUGAAAUCCAGGUCAAAGUGUCACCAGAGUGAUGGUUGGAAUGGAAAACUAGCUGGAGGACACCCAAGUACUCUUAAAGCAAUCCCCAUGGUGAGUAAGAAGGGGAGCUCGGAAGCAUCAGGGUAACAAUGGGACAAGUGUGGGAUCUGGUUCAUUCUGCCUUGGAACUUUUUCACACUGAUGACAAGGAAGAACAAGAGUAUAGCAAAGUAAUAGAAGAGGUUACAUAGCAUGUUUCUUUGCCAGCUCAAGCUAAAGCAGCAAAGGAAGGAGAGGUUCAUUCCUACCCUUCUGCACCCCCUCCUUAUUAUUUUGAAGAAAAUGAUCUCCUAGAUCUUUCUUUUCCAGAGGACACUGGGCGAAAAGUAAUUGCCCCAGUGACUGUUUGAGCAGCACCUCGAGCAAUGGUUCUUAGUUCUAUUCAGGCAGGAAUUCAGCAAGCUAGAUGAGAUGGUGAUUUAGAGGCUUGGCAGUUCCCUGUUAGAAUACACCCCCCAGAUCAACAGGGAAAUAUUACAGCUACAUUUGAGCCUUUUCCUUUUAAAUUACUCAAAUAAUUUAAACAAGCUAUUCAUACUAAAAAAGAAUGUACAAAAAAUCAGUGAGUCAGGCUGCCAGAUAGAGGAAAAAAGAAAAUUGCUGAGCCUGAAAUAUGUCCAAAAUGUAAAAAAGGAAAAUAUUAGGCUAAUCAGUGUCACUCUAAGUUUGAUAAAGAUGGGAACCAGAUUUUGGAAAAUGCCAUGAGGGGCCCGUCCUGGGCCCCAUUCUAAACUGGGGCAUUUCCAGCUCAGGCCAUUCCCUCACCCCUGUACAAUGUCUGUCCCCUGCCACAACUGGUAGUGCCACAGUAGAUUUAUGCUACACAAAAGCUGUGAGCCUUCUGCCUGGGGAACCCUCACAAAAGGUCCCAGAAGGAGUCUGUGGACCCUUGCCAGCAGGGACUAUAGGAUUACUUUUAGGAAGGUCUAGUUUAAGUCUAAAAGGGGUGCAAAUACAUACAGGAGUCAUUGAUUCAGAUUACAAUGGGGAAAUUCAAAUUGUUAUAUCUACUUCUGUUCCCUGGAAAGCAGAGCCAGGAGAGCACAUAGCACAGCUCCUGAUUGUGCCAUAUGUGGGAAUGGGAAAAAAUGAAAUUAAACAAACAGGAGGAUUUGGAAGCAUAAAUAAAUAAGGCAAAGCAGAUUACUGGGUAAAUCAAAUUACUGAUAAACAUCCUACCUAUGAAAUAACUAUUCAAGGAAAGAAAUUUAAAGGAUUGGUGGAUACAGGAGUGGACAUUUCAAUCAUUUCUCUACAGCACUGGCUGUCUACGUGGCCAAUUCAACCCACUCAAUUUAACAUAGUUGGAGUUGGUAAAGUUGCUGAAGUAUAUCAAAGUAGUUAUAUUUUGCAUUAUGAAAGGCCUGAUGGACAACCUGGGACUAUUCAACCGAUUAUAACUUCUGUAACUAUACAUUUAUGGGGAAGAGAUUUAUUAUAACAAUGGAGAGCACAAGUUCUAAUUCCAGAACAAUUAUAUAGCCCUCAAUGUCAACAUACAAUGCAUGAAAUGGGGUAUGUCCCUGGUAUGGGACUAGAAAAAAAUUUGCAAGGUUUGAAAGAACCACUUCAAGUGGAAAAACAAAGUUCCCACCAAAGAUUAGGAAAUAAUUUUUGAGGGUGGCCAUUGUUAAGCCUCCAGAACCUAUACCUUUAAAAUGGUUAACAGAUAAGCCAAUUUGGAUAAAACAAAGGCCACUAAGUAAAGAAAAACUGGAAGCUUUAGAGAAAUUAGUUGCAGAACAAUUAGAAAAUGGGCACAUAGCUCCAACAUUUUCUCCUUGAAAUUCUCCAGUUUUUGUAAUUAAGAAAAAAUCAGGUAAAUGGAGAAUGUUAACUGACUUAAGAGCCAUCAAUUCAGUUAUACAACCUAUGGGAGCAUUACAGCCAGGAUUGCCUUCUCCUGCUAUGAUUCCAAAAAGUUGGCCUUUAAUAGCCAUGGAUUUGAAGGACUGUUUCCUUACUAUCCCCUUGGCUGAGCAAGACUGUGAAUGGUUUGCAUUUACUAUUCCUGCAGUAAACAACCUGCAGCCUGCUAAGCGUUAUCAUUGGAAAGUGUUGCCACAGGGCAUGUCAAACAGCCCAACAAUUUGCCAGACGUAUGUGGGGCAAGCAAUUGAACGUACUCAUAAAAAAAUUUCACAGUGUUACAUUAUUCACCAUAUGGAUGAUAUACUUUGUGCUGCCCCCACUUGAGAAAUAUUACUCCAAUGUUAUGAUCACUUGCAAAAUUCGAUUUCUCAUGCUGGUUUAAUUAUAGCUCCUGACAAAAUUCAGACUACUACUCCUUACUCCCACUUGGGGACCUUAGUAAAUGACACUACCAUUGUGCCACAGAAAGUAACCGUACGUAGGGAUCAACUAAAAACAUUAAAUGACUUUCGAAAAUUACUAGGGGUUAUUAAUUGGAUACGACCUGCUCUAGGCAUUCCUACCUAUGCCAUGAGUAAUCUGUUUUCUAUCCUUAGAGGAAAUCCUAGUCUCACUAGCCCUCGGCAAUUAAAAAAGGAGGCGGAGGCAGAGUUACAACUGAUUGAGAAGCAAGUCCAUAAAGCUCAGAUAAAUAGAAUAGAUCCAGAGAAGACUCUAGAUUUGCUAAUUUUUUCAACUCAGCAUUCACCUUCUGGUGUUAUUGUCCAAGAACAGGACUUAGUAGAGUGGCUUUUUCUUCCACAUACUAAUUCAUGGACUCUAACUCCUUAUUUAGAUCAAAUCGCUACUCUGAUAGGGAUUGGAAGAACUUGGAUGGUUAAAUUACAUGGAUAUGAUCCUGGAAAAAUUAUUGUCCCUCUCAUGAAGGCAUAAAUACAGCAAGCUUUUAUAAAUAGUCUUACUUGGCAAACCCAUUUAGCUGACUCUGGGGGUAUUCUCAAUAAUCAUUUUCCUAAAACAAAGCUGUUUCAGUUUUUGAAAUUAACUAAUUGGAUUCUCCGUAAAAUAACUAAAUUUAAACCAAUUGAAGGUGCUGAGAAUGUUUUUACAGAUGGGUCUAGUAAUGGUAAAGCUUCUUAUUCUGGCUCAAAAUUAAAGUUUUCCAGACAUCCUGUACCUCAGCUCAAAAAGUGGAGCUUAUAGCGGUAAUUGAGGUAUUGACUGCCUUUGAUAUGCCUAUUAAUGUGAUUUCUGAUUCUUCAUAUGUUGUUCAGUCCACACAGUUAAUUGAAAAUGCUCAGUUACAAUUUAAUACAGAUGAACAACUGAUGACUUUAUUUACCCAAUUGCAAACAACAGUUAGAAGUAGAAUGCACCCUUUUUACGUGACUCACAUUAGAGCUCAUACACUCUUCCAGGACCUUUGACUGAAGGAAAUCAAAUGGCUGAUCACCCAGUUGCUACUGCAAUAUCUAAUGGUAGACACUUUCACAAUUUAACCCAUGUUAAUGCCUCUGGUCUCAAAUGCAGAUACGGCAUUACCUGGAAAGAAGCUAAAGCUAUUAUCCAGUGAUGCCCAACUUGCCAAGUGGUACGUUCCUCAUCUUUUACAGAAGGAGUUAAUCCUCGAAGACUAGAACCUAACUCUGGCAAAUGGAGGUCACACAUGUUCCCUCAUUUGGGAGACUAGCUUAUGUACAUGUAGUGUGGACACCUUUUCUCACUUUGGGCUACAUGCCAAACAGGAGAGUCUUCUGCCUGUGUUAAACAUCAUCUUUUACAGUGCUUUGCGGUGAUGGGCAUUCCAGCUUCUAUUAAAACAGAUAAUGCCCCAGGCUGUACUAGCCAAGCUCUAGCUACAUUUUUCUCUAUGUGGAAUAUUAAACACAUUACUGGUAUCCCAUACAAUUCUCAAGGACAAACCAUAGUAGAAAGAAUGAAUCUCUCCCUAAAACAGCAGUUGCAAAAGCAGAAAGGGGGAGACAGAGAAUAUGGAACACCACAGAUACAACUGAACCUAAUAUUAUUAACUUUAAAUUUUUUGAGGCUGCCCAGAGGCCAGAUGUUAUCAGCAGCUGAACAGCAUUGACAGAAACCAGCUGCAAAGACAGAAACAGAACAACAGAUUUGGUGAAGAGAUCCAAUAACAAAAAGUUGGGAAAUAGGUAAAAUAAUAACUUGGGGUAGAGGUUAUGCUUGUAUUUCUCCAGGCCAAAAUCAACAGCCGAUUUGGAUACCAUCAAGACACCUGAAACCUUAUCAUGAGCCAGAUGCCAAAGAAGAGACUCUGAGAGGACCCCGAGGACCCCUCAAUAACAGCCAUGUCAAGACUGACGCUGAGGAGAACCCCAACUGUCAUGAGCAACACCCGUUUAACACAGCCACCCACCUGGGGACAAAUCAAGAAGCUGUCAAAGAUGGUGGAAGAAAACCUGAGGAAAGUGGGACAGCCAGUCACAGUGAAUAAUUUAAGGAUAGCUAUGAUAGCAGUUAUCACCACUGCCAUGAGUAUUCCUUCAAUAAGGGCUGACAUAGAGAACAAUUAUACUUAUUAGGUAUAUUUAUCAAUCUUGGCUGGCAAUAAUGCCUGGAUGCAAUCACUUUAUGACACAGUUACACAUGCUUUCUGAUCUCAGUAUUUACCAUAAUAAAUCUGCUCUUAUAAUUGAGGCAUACCACCCUCAAAAACCUAUUUGUAAACAGUUAGAAAAAAUGAACGUACUUGUUUAGGAAGAUUGCACUGCAGAACAGGCAGAGGUGCUGCACAACAAUUCCUAUGGAAUCAUUAUUAAUUGGUCCCCUAAGGGGAUGUUUAGCUUGAAUUGCACCCCUCAGUCUGCAUGCCACGGCCACACUAUGUUCAGAUGAUCUGAACAAAACGGUCAGAUGGUAGAAAUGAUAAGAAGUACAGCAAAAGUUCCUAUUAUCUGGAACCAUGGUGUUACAGUGGCACCUCAGCCUCAAAUGAUAUGGCCUGCUCUAGGAGCUAAACAUAGGGAUUUGUGGAAACUAUUAAAUGCUCUUAAUAAGAUCAAAAUUUGGGAAAGAAUAAAAAAGCAUCUAGAAGGACACUCUAUAAACUUGUUUUUGGAUAUAGCAAAAUUAAAAGAACAAAUAUUUAAAGCAUCCCAGGCACACCUGACCUUAAUGCCAGGAACUGGAGUGCUUAAAGGAGCUGCAGACAGAUUAGCAGCUAGUAACCCAUUAAAAUGGAUAAAAACACUUGGAAGCUCUGUGAUUUCAAUGAUGACUGUGCUUUUAAUCUAUGUUGUUUGUCUUUUUAUAGUCUGCAGAUGCGGAUUCUGACUCCUGCGAGAAGUAGCUCACCAUGACAAAGCUGCCCUUGCUUUUAUCUCUUUGCAAAUCAAAGAAGGGAGACGUGUUGGAAGCAAGCCCCCCUAAAAUCUGGCCAUAAACUGGCCCCCAAACUGGCCAUAAACAAAAUCUCUGCAGCACUGUAACAUAUUCAUAAUGGCCCUAACGCCCAAGCUGGAAGGUCGUGGGUUUAUGGGAAUGAGGGCAAGGAACACCUGUCCCACUCAGGGUGGAAAACCGCUUAAAGGCAUUCUUAAGCCACAAACAAUAGCAUAAGCGAUCUGUCUUAAGGGCGUGUUCCUGCUGCAGUUAACUCACACAACCUAGUCCUUUAAUUCAGCCCAUCCCUUCAUUUCCCAUAAGGGAUACUUUUAGUUAAUUUAAUAUCUAUAUGAACAAUGCUAAUGACUGGUUUGCUGUUAAUAAAUAUGUGGGCAAAUCUCUGUUCACGGGUCUCAGCUCUGGAGGCUGUGAGACCCCUGAUUUCCCA